AAUUUUGGACAGUUGUGGAAACCCUGACCCAGCCUUCCCGCGCGUAUGCAGAAGUCCUCCUGCUUGUUUAUUACUUUUGGCAUAGAAGAGAAGGUAGCCCCUAAUACGAAAUACUGCUGACGGUAUCUGCAGAAUAAGCAUCGGCUAACUACGUGCCAGCAGCCGCGGUAAUACGGAGGUUGCAAGCUUUAAUCGGAAUUACUUGGGGUAUAGCGGGGGUAGGCGGUUCGAUAAGAAAGAUGUGAAAACCCAGGGCGCAACCUUGGAACUGCAUUUUUAAAUGCAGAGGUAGAGUAUGUCAGAGGGGGGUAGUAUUCCACGUGUAGCAGUGAUAUGCGUAGAUAUGUGGAGAAAGACCGAUGGCGAAGGCAGCCCCCUGGGAUAAUACUGACGCUCAGACACGAAAGCGUGGGGAGCAAACA
rnacentral:rRNA from 1 species